rnacentral:rRNA from 1 species
UACGGAGGGGGCUAGCGUUGUUCGGAAUUACUGGGCGUAAAGCGCGCGUAGGCGGACCUGCAAGUCGGGGGUGAAAGCCCGAGGCUCAACCUCGGAACUGCCUUCGAUACUGCGGGUCUCGAGUCCGGGAGAGGUGAGUGGAAUUCCUAGUGUAGAGGUGAAAUUCGUAGAUAUUAGGAAGAACACCAGUGGCGAAGGCGGCCCCCUGGUUGGAUACUGACGCUGAGGCGCGAAAGCUAGGGGAGCGAACGGG